rnacentral:rRNA from 1 species
CCCUUAGAUGUUCUGGGCCGCACGCGUGCUACACUGAGUGGAUCAGCGGGUCAGGUUGCGCGAAAGUGUUUCCUAAUCUUGAAAUCCGCUCGUGAUGGGGAUUGACGGUUGCAAUUUUCCGUCAUGAACGAGGAAUACCUUGUAAGCGCGGGUCAUCAUCCCGCGCUGAAUACGUCCCUGCCCUUUGUAAACACCGCCCGUCGCUCCUACCGAUUGAGUGGUCCGGUGAGGCUUUGGGAUCUGAGCGGAAAGAGCGUUUCGCUGUUUCUGCUCGGAAAACUCAGUCGAACCUUAUCAUUUAGAGGAAGGAGAAGUCGUAACA